rnacentral:rRNA from 1 species
GACGAACGCUGGCGGCGUGCUUAACACAUGCAAGUCGAACGGAAAGGCCCUGCUUUUGUGGUGUGCUCGAGUGGCGAACGGGUGAGUAACACGUGAGUAACCUGCCCUUGACUUUGGGAUAACUUCAGGAAACUGGGGCUAAUACCGGAUAGGAGCUCCUGCUGCAUGGUGGGGGUUGGAAAGUUUCGGCGGUUGGGGAUGGACUCGCGGCUUAUCAGCUUGUUGGUGGGGUAGUGGCUUACCAAGGCUUUGACGGGUAGCCGGCCUGAGAGGAUGACCAGCCACAUUGGGACUGAGAUACGGCCCAGACUCAUACGGGAGGCAGCAGUGGGGAAUAUUGCACAAUGGGCGGAAGCCUGAUGCAGCAACGCCGCGUGCGGGAUAACGGCCUUCGGGUUGUAAACCGCUUUCGCCUGUGACGAAGCAUGAGUGACGGUAAUGGGUAAAGAAGCACCGGCUAACUACGUG